rnacentral:pre_miRNA from 1 species
CAAGUCACCUGCUCCUCAGAUCAGAAGGUGAUUGUGGCUUUGAGUAGAUAUUAAGCAGCCACAGCACUGCCUGGUCAGAAAGAGCAAGUGUACUAGCC